rnacentral:rRNA from 1 species
AGAUUAAGUUAUAAAGGGCGCACGGUGGUUGCCAUGACACUAGAAGCCGAUGAAGUACGUUACUAACGGCGAUCUGCUUCUGGGAGCGGUAAUUAAGCUUUUAUCCAGAGAUUUCCGAAUGGGGGAACCCAGCACGAGUUAUUUCGUGUUAUCCGCAUGUGAAUACAUAGCAUGUGAGAAGGUAGACCCGGAGAACUGAAACAUCUUAGUAACCGGAGGAAGAGAAAGAAAAAUCGAUUCCCUGAGUAGCGGCGAGCGUAACGGGAAGAGCCCAAACCAACAAGCUUACUUGUUGGGGGUGUAGGACACUCUUAUGGAGGUACAA